rnacentral:rRNA from 1 species
GACGAACGCUGGCGGCGUGCCUAACACAUGCAAGUCGAGCGGAGUCGAUCGACGGAAGCCUUCGGGCGGAAGAUGGUUGACUUAGCGGCGGAUGGGUGAGUAACGCGUGGGCAACCUGCCUCGAAGACCGGGAUAACAGACCGAAAGGGCUGCUAAUACCGGAUGUGGUCAAGGAUCCGCAUGGAUCUUUGAUUAAAGGGGAAACCCGUUUCGAGAUGGGCCCGCGUCCUAUCAGCUAGUUGGUGAGGUAAAAGCUCACCAAGGCGACGACGGGUAGCCGGCCUGAGAGGGUGACCGGCCACACUGGAACUGAGACACGGUCCAGACUCCUACGGGGGGCAGCAGUGGGGAAUCUUCCACAAUGGGCGAAAGCCUGAUGGAGCGACGCCGCGUGAGCGAAGAAGGCCUUCGGUUGUAAAGCUCUGUCUGGAGGGACGAAGGAAGUGACGGUACCGUCCGGAGGAAGCCACGGCGUAACUACGUGCCAGCAGCCGCGGGUAAUCGUACGUACGUACGUACGUCGUAG